rnacentral:miRNA from 1 species
UAUCUGCCCUUCCCUGUCCUAU